rnacentral:rRNA from 1 species
UACGUAGGGGGCUAGCGUUGUCCGGAAUCAUUGGGCGUAAAGCGCGUGUAGGCGGUCCGGUAAGUCCGCUGUGAAAGUCGAGGGCUCAACCCUCGAAUGCCGGUGGAUACUGUCGGGCUUGAGUACGGGAGAGGCGAGUGGAAUUCCUGGUGUAGCGGUGAAAUGCGCAGAUAUCAGGAGGAACACCGGUGGUGUAGACGGCUUUCUGGACCGUAACUGACGCUGAGACACGAAAGCGUGGGUAGCAAACAGG